CCGCCCGUCACACCAUGGGAGUCAGUUGCUCCAGAAACGGCUGCGCUAACUCGCAAGAGAGGCAGGUCUUUUAAGGAGUGGCUGGUAACUGGGGUG
rnacentral:rRNA from 1 species